rnacentral:rRNA from 1 species
UGACCUCAAAUCAGGUAGGACUACCCGCUGAACUUAAGCAUAUCAAUAAGCGGAGGAAAAGAAACUAACAAGGAUUCCCCUAGUAACUGCGAGUGAAGCGGGAAAAGCUCAAAUUUAAAAUCUGUCAGUCUUUGGCUGUCCGAGUUGUAAUCUAGAGAAGCGUUAUCCGCGCUGGACCGUGUACAAGUCUCCUGGAAUGGAGCGUCAUAGAGGGUGAGAAUCCCGUCUUUGACACGGACUGCCAGGGCUUUGUGAUGCGCUCUCAAAGAGUCGAGUUGUUUGGGAAUGCAGCUCAAAAUGGGUGGUAAAUUCCAUCUAAAGCUAAAUAUUGGCGAGAGACCGAUAGCGAACAAGUACCGUGAGGGAAAGAUGAAAAGAACUUUGGAAAGAGAGUUAAACAGUACGUGAAAUUGCUGAAAGGGAAACGCUUGAAGUCAGUCGCGUUGUCCAGGGAUCAACCUUGCUUUUGCUUGGUGUACUUUCUGGUUGACGGGUCAGCAUCAAUUUUGACCGUUGGAAAAAGGUCAGGGGAAUGUGGCAUCAUUAGAUGUGUUAUAGCCCUUGGUUGUAUACAAUGGUUGGGAUUGAGAACCUCGCACUUUUUCGA